ensembl:lncRNA
CAUAUCUUGGACAUGUAUUAAAAUGUAUGAAACCAGGUAAAUGGUAUUUUUGACAACAAACUGAAGCUUAUGGCAGACCAAACAAAACACGAGCUGUGCUCUAUGGGGACGCCAUGGCGUGCAGGUGUGCCAAGCUCCCUCACAAACACAGAUCAGAAAGAUGGUUUGUUUCUCUGCCCACCAGAAGAAUAUGACAUGCUAGAGGAGUCAACAUAAGUACUGUAUAAAGAAAGCUGAGAUUUUGGGGUUGAAUUACUGGAUUGGCUUGCUUGGGCUUGGCUGGUCUGAGAUUCUUUGUAGAGGUGAAAUAUAGAAGCAUGGAAUCAUUAAGGUUGGAAAAGAUCCCUAAGAUCAUCUAGUCCAUCAAUCAACCCAUUCCCACCAUAUUCACUAACCCACAUCCCUCAGUACCACACCUACAGGUUUCUUGAACACCUCCAGGGACAGUGACCCCACCACUUCCCUGGGCAGCCUGUUCCAAGAGCAGUAACUCUUUUGGAGAAGAAACAGCCUCUCUGUUCAUCUGAUAUGGACAAACAAGUUGUAUACAAAUACUUGCUGUUCCAUAGCAGAACUUGUGUGUGUGUGUGUGUUAGGUUAUUAUUUUUUAAUGUCACUGACUGUAACAUUAAUAGGUGAUGGUAAAUUUUCUCUGAAAGUAAGGCUCAGGAAAGGUCUGGAAGUGCUGGAGAGCAAAUAAACAUAGGUGGCAGCAGUGUCUCACCCUGGAGGUUACACUCGCCCUCAGCAGUAUCUCUGCACGCAACAUUUCAGGCAGAUAUUUUUGUUCUGAAAGCUACAGACAAGGAAGAACCAUAAGACAUGUUUCAUCACGAAACAAAGAUGGAUUUUUUUGUGAAAUUAAGAGAAAAAAAUGCAACUCAAAAUGUGUUUUAAAACAAGGCUCCCUAAUGUAGAAAGAAAAAUGAGCAUAAGUAAAAAUAAUUAUUUUACCUCCUUCAUUUUAACUGCUUCUUUUAUGGAAAAAUAAACAAAAUUAAAAUACAUGCAAGUAUUUACUAAGCUCUUUGUUAAGCUCUAGAAGGUUUUGAACUUAGGAUUUACGGCAUUCAAAAGAACUUGCUCCUCAAUUCUUCA